rnacentral:tRNA from 1 species
GGGAGUUUGGCCGAGUGGUUAAGGCGUCGUGUUUAGGCAUUGUAUAAGCAAUACCAUAAAUCCCGCGAUGGGAAACCGCGCAGGUUCGAAUCCUGCAGCUCUCA